UUAUAAAUGAUUGCGAGCCACCAUGGG
rnacentral:piRNA from 1 species